rnacentral:rRNA from 1 species
UGGGGAAUAUUGCACAAUGGAGGGAACUCUGAUGCAGCGACGCCGCGUGAACGAAGAAGGCUUCCGAGUCGUAAAGUUCUUUUAUAUGGGAAGAUAAUGACGGUACCAUAAGAAAAAGCCCCGGCUAACUACGUGCCAGCAGUCGCGGUAAUACGUAGGGGGCUAGCGUUGUCCGGAAUCACUGGGCGUAAAGGGUUCGCAGGCGGAAAUGCAAGUCAGGUGUAAAAGGCAGUAGCUUAACUACUGUAAGCAUUUGAAACUGCAUAUCUUGAGAAGAGUAGAGGUAAGUGGAAUUUUUAGUGUAGCGGUGAAAUGCGUAGAUAUUAAAAAGAAUAACGGUGGCGAAGGCGACUUACUGGGCUAAUUCUGACGCUGAGGAACGAAAGCGUGGGUAGCAAACAGG